UAUUACAAAGUGAAAGAAGUAAACAUAUUUAACCCACCUAAACACGCCGUUGUGGUUAGCUAGCGGUUUGCUUUCUCGUCUGGUGCCAAAUGCUGGACACCCUCUCCUCCUCCAGCAUCCAUUCAUGGUAGCUAAUAAAGUUGAUAACUCAAAAAUACCGACAACAUUCGACGACAAGUGCCACUGUUGACCCAGCAUCAAGCCGCCGUGCUUGUGGAUACACAGUCAACUGACAAGGUGUUUCUGGCUGUUCUCCGAGGCCAUGACUGCUCCUAGCCGGGAGGCCCCUGCACCCCAUAUGUGACAGAGAAAGGAACAAGACUUUUUUCUUUCUUUCCUGCAGGGGGAUUACAGUAUCUCCACGAGCGUCUCAAAUUAUGGAGAGUGUCAAGAUAAGGACAAAGAGAACAUGCGUUUCGUAACUAACCCCAUCAGUCAUAUCAUUUGGAAAAAUCCGGCAAUCAGAUAAUUAGCGACAGGGUCUGGUGUAACAUAUGAAAUACAUGUCGGAUGGCGACAUUGCUUUCAACGCAACAGGGUGAGAAAAGUUCACACCCCUGUCCCAGCAGUGUAGAAUACCCUUUCUCCCGCCUAUGUUACUACCCCUGAAGGCAAAAAUAUCAAUAUCAGGUCAACUUUGUCACCCUGUUCCGUUGCUGUUUUACACAGAAUGACAGCAUGGAAAAAAGGCAGAAAAUGCAUGUCGAACAGUAACUUUCAACACAACAGGAUGAGAGAAGUUCAAUAGUGAGUGCCACUGAUUUUGUUUCCGAUCCGAUACUGAGUAAAAUUCCGGCUGGUAUCUGCUAUACUGAUCUGAUACUUUGCAAAUUCACCUCAUGUGUCCGGUAAAUUUGAAAAAGUAGUGUAUCAUACCAGCAUAAAGAAUACAAAACAUUUCAUUAAUUUAUUAAAUAAAUAAAUUAGUAU